AUAUUUCUCAGGCUCUAAUAGCUAACUCUAGUCGCUACUAAUAUAAUUCUAUCUUGAUUCUGUAUUGAGAGUGAUGAGAGGUGUUUGGUCGUGAAAAAACCAAAAUACGAACGCUAACCUCCUCGAUAAUGGCCAAGUUAAACAGGCUUCGAAGCUUCAACGCCGCACGUUAUUUCAAGGUGUCGUUGGGCGAAUUAACUACGGGUCCCCCCCUCUCCUCUCCGACACCGUGACUGAGCUUAUACUGGAAAGAGAUAUAGUAACAAUAGCAGCACGGCAAAAUGGUAAUUUCGGAUUGGAUGGCACCUCUCGCUUUGUUUUUGGAGGUUUAGCGAUGAACAGCCAAUACCGGAUGUGGGAAUCCCGGACGGAGUAUUGAUCGGGUCUACAUCGAUGGGAUACGACACCAGUAUAUCCUCAAGACAGUUAAUCUUCCUCUUUACGAACCGCGCGACACCGAUGUCUCUCGAACGGAGCUUCGAGUACUUUGCAACUGGUGGGGGUUGCGGUAUCUACAAAUCCCCAUGUGACUUAGGGUGGUGGUGAUGGACCACUGGUGGUGAAAUAGUAUUCUACUCGAGGCAUAUCCUGGAGGAUAAUUGCAGCAGGUGCUUUCCGAAAACCGUGUUGCAGAGUAUGUUUGGGAGAAAUGGCCUCUUCAUAUCGGAACUGCUCUGAAUCGCUUUCAUGAGGCAAAGAAAACUCAAUGGACAUGAAAUCCUCGAUUAUCGUUUUUGACGGCGAAGGGAAUGCGGUGGUUAUCGACAUCAGCGGCUUUGGCGGGAUAACUCACCAAUAUUGUCCCCGGGGUUUCAAGAUGAGAUGUCUUCCUUGCUCUUCCGUUUCAACAACGUUGACUUAACAUAGAUAGACAAUAGGCUGAUUUGCCUAGUGGUUGGAUGUUGGCAUGUAAACUAUCAAGUAAUCAAGUAUCAUGGCCAAAUAGGUUACCCCGCAAAUUGAGUGCCCCUAUUGGCAACGGCAUUGCUCCAAGAGGUCAAAUACCCAAUUAAGCACAGAAAUAAAAAGU
rnacentral:sRNA from 1 species